rnacentral:rRNA from 1 species
UACGAAGGGGGGCUAGCGUUGCUCGGAAUCACUGGGCGUAAAGGGUGCGUAGGCGGGUCUUUUAAGUCAGGGGUGAAAUCCUGGAGCUCAACUCCAGAACUGCCUUUGAUACUGAGGAUCUUGAGUUCGGGAGAGGUGAGUGGAACUGCGAGUGUAGAGGUGAAAUUCGUAGAUAUUCGCAAGAACACCAGUGGCGAAGGCGGCUCACUGGCCCGAUACUGACGCUGAUGCACGAAAGCGUGGGGGAGCAAACAGG